GUGAAUCAUCGAAUCUUUGAACGCAAAUUGCACUCCCUGGUAUUCCGGGGAGCAUGCCUGUUUGAGGGUCGUUAGACUAAAAAAUCGAUGCGUCGGCUUUUUUUUUAGGGGUGAUUGGGUCGGAAUUGAGCCGUCAUCGAAAUGUUAAUUCAUGUCAAAGUAGCGUGAACUUUAUCCAUCUGGUUCGUUUGAAGCGUAUUAAUGAGCAUUUA
rnacentral:misc_RNA from 1 species